UACGAAGGGGGCUAGCGUUGCUCGGAAUCACUGGGCGUAAAGCGCACGUAGGCGGACUCUUAAGUCGGUGGUGAAAUCCUGGAGCUCAACUCCAGAACUGCCUUCGAUACUGGGAGUCUCGAGUCCGGGAGAGGUGAGUGGAACUGCGAGUGUAGAGGUGAAAUUCGUAGAUAUUCGCAAGAACACCAGUGGCGAAGGCGCUCACUGGCCCGGUACUGACGCUGAGGUGCGAAAGCGUGGGGAGCAAACAGG
rnacentral:rRNA from 1 species